UAAUACGUAGGGGGCUAGCGUUAUCCGGAAUUACUGGGCGUAAAGGGUGCGUAGGUGGUUUCUUAAGUCAGAGGUGAAAGGCUACGGCUCAACCGUAGUAAGCCUUUGAAACUGGGAAACUUGAGUGCAGGAGAGGAGAGUGGAAUUCCUAGUGUAGCGGUGAAAUGCGUAGAUAUUAGGAGGAACACCAGUUGCGAAGGCGGCUCUCUGGACUGUAACUGACACUGAGGCACGAAAGCGUGGGGAGCAAACAGG
rnacentral:rRNA from 2 species